CCUACGGGAGGCAGCAGUGGGGAAUAUUGGGCAAUGGAGGAAACUCUGACCCAGCGACGCCGCGUGCGGGAUGAAGGCCUUCGGGUUGCAAACCGCUUUCAGUAGGGAAGAAGCGAAAGUGACGGUACCUACAGAGGAAGCGCCGGCUAACUAUGUGCCAGCAGCCGCGGUAAUACAUAGGGUGCAAGCGUUGUCCGGAAUUAUUGGGCGUAAAGAGCUCGUAGGUGGUUCGUCACGUCGGAUGUGAAAAUCUGGGGCUCAACCCCAGACCUGCAUUCGAUACGGGCGAUCUAGAGUGUGGUAGGGGAGACUGGAAUUCCUGGUGUAGCGGUGGAAUGCGCAGAUAUCAGGAGGAACACCAAUGGCGAAGGCAGGUCUCUGAGCCAUUACUGACACUGAGGAGCGAAAGCGUGGGGAGCGAACAGGAUUAGAUACCCUGGUAGUCCACGCCGUAAACGGUGGGCACUAGUUGUGGGAACCUUCCACGGUUUCUGCGACGCAGCUAACGCAUUAAGUGCCCCGCCUGGGGAGUACGAUCGCAAGNUUAAAACGUCAAAGGAAUUGACGG
rnacentral:rRNA from 1 species